GGGGGCGAGCAGGCUCCUUCUGAGCAGGUUAGGAACAGGGAUACGCGCCACGGGGACGGCAGACGGGGCCGGCCCUUCCUGGGCUGGGCGACGGUUCUAAAGGCAGAGAACAACGUGCAGAGGACAUCUAU